AGUGGCGGACGGGUGAGUAACGCGUGGGUAACCUGCCUCAUACAGGGGGAUAACAGUUAGAAAUGACUGCUAACACCGCAUAAUAUAGCGAAACCGCAUGAUUUUGCUAUCAAAUAUUUAUAGGUAUGAGAUGGGCCCGCGUCUGAUUAGCUAGUUGGUGGGGUAAAAGCCUACCAAGGCGACGAUCAGUAGCCGGCUUGAGAGAGUGACCGGCCACAUGGACUGAGACACGGCCCAAACUCCUACGGGAGGCAGCAGUGGGGAAUAUUGGACAAUGGGGGAAACCCUGAUCCAGCCGACGCCGCGUGAGUGAAGAAGUAUUUCGGUAUGUAAAGCUCUAUCAGCAGGGAAGAUAAUGACAGUACCUGACUAAGAAGCCCCGGCUAACUACGUGCCAGCCGCCGC
rnacentral:rRNA from 1 species